rnacentral:rRNA from 1 species
UACGGAAGGCAGCAGUGGGGAAUAUUGCACAAUGGGCGCAAGCCUGAUGCAGCCAUGCCGCGUGUAUGAAGAAGGCCCUCGGGUUGUAAAGUACUUUCAGUCGUGAGGAAGGUGUUAAGGUUAAUAACCUUAGCAAUUGACGUUAGCGACAGAAGAAGCACCGGCUAACUCCGUGCCAGCAGCCGCGGUAAUACGGAGGGUGCGAGCGUUAAUCGGAAUUACUGGGCGUAAAGGGCACGCAGGCGGUUAAUUAAGUUGGAUGUGAAAUCCCCGGGCUUAACCUGGGAAUGGCAUUCAAGACUGGUUAGCUAGAGUCUUGUAGAGGGGGUAGAAUUCCAUGUGUAGCGGUGAAAUGCGUAGAGAUGUGGAGGAAUACCGGGUGGCGAAGGCGGCCCCUGGACAAAGACUGACGCUCAUGUGCGAAAGCGUGGGGAGCAAACGAGGAUUAGAUACC